GACGAACGCUGGCGGCGUGCCUAAUACAUGCAAGUAGAACGCUGAAGGAGGAGCUUGCUCUUCUGGAUGAGUUGCGAACGGGUGAGUAACGCGUAGGUAACCUGCCUGGUAGCGGGGGAUAACUAUUGGAAACGAUAGCUAAUACCGCAUAAGAGUAGAUGUUGCAUGACAUUUGCUUAAAAGGUGCAAUUGCAUCACUACCAGAUGGACCUGCGUUGUAUUAGCUAGUUGGUGGGGUAACGGCUCACCAAGGCGACGAUACAUAGCCGACCUGAGAGGGUGAUCGGCCACACUGGGACUGAGACACGGCCCAGACUCCUACGGGAGGCAGCAGUAGGGAAUCUUCGGCAAUGGACGGAAGUCUGACCGAGCAACGCCGCGUGAGUGAAGAAGGUUUUCGGAUCGUAAAGCUCUGUUGUAAGAGAAGAACGAGUGUGAGAGUGGAAAGUUCACACUGUGAC
rnacentral:rRNA from 1 species